rnacentral:rRNA from 1 species
CCCUUAGAUGUUCUGGGCCGCACGCGCGCUACACUGAUGCAUUCAACGAGUCUAAAACCUGCUCUGAUAGGGGUGGGUAAUCUUUUGAAUGUGCAUCGUGAUUGGGAUAGAUGAUUGCAAUUUUUCAUCUUCAACGAGGAAUGCCUAGUAAACGCAAGUCAUCAGCUUGCAUUGAUUACGUCCCUGCCCUUUGUACACACCGCCCGUCGCUCCUACCGACUGAAUGAUCCGAUGAAUAUCAUGGAUUGAGGAUGCAAGUAGGUUCGCCUAUCUUCAUCUUCGAGAAGUGAAGUAAAUCUUAUCAUUUAGAGGAAGGAGAAGUCGUAACA